rnacentral:lncRNA from 1 species
CCGGAAUCCUUGGUGAAGGCUAUCCAGAAUUAGCUGUCUUGUGACGGCAGUAGAAGCUGCUGUGGGCUCGUCCUGUCGCCUGGAAGCAGACCACUCCCUUUCUAUCCUAAUAAAUAUGGCAGGAGGCCGGCUAGGACCGCUUUUAGGCUUCAGUGCUCCGACAUCAACAGGUGUAGAACAUCAGAGGAUUCCUUCAUCAGCCGCAGGAGCAACUACAAUCAUCAUCAUCAUCAUCAUCAUCCAAUGGAGACCAGCUCACUGCAGCAGGCUUGGUCCUGGUGGGGCGUGGACUCCGAGCAGGCACACCUGGUUCCAAUUACUCAUCACUGCAAUACAAAAGCCUCAGACUCACCUCCACUCAUCGUUGGAUUGUUCCGUCUAUGCUGCGGUACUUCUGCUCUCGAGAUAUCCUGAAGUCUAUGCCUUUUGCCAAGUUUUAUUUUUGAUUCUGGACUUUUAUUCCUCUAGUACCCGAGCCUGCUCUGGAGCCACUCCCAGGAUCAAGCCAAGCCAAGAGGACACUUUUUGUUAAAUAAAUUCACGUCGACCCACACUUUGGGUGUUGUGUUUGUUUAUGGGUCCAACUUAACAACCCUAACAAUUAUUACUGUUUUCUUUUUGUUUUAUAUUCAUACAUCCGAAUGGAUGUUUUUUAUGUUCUUUAUUUUUUUUCUUCAAUGGCUACUCUAAAGUGCUAAAUAAAUGUAAUAUAUUGGCUGGCCA